AUUGAACGCUGGCGGCAGGCCUAACACAUGCAAGUCGAACGAGUGGCGGACGGGUGAGUAAUGUCUGGGAAACUGCCUGAUGGAGGGGGAUAACUACUGGAAACGGUAGCUAAUACCGCAUAACAUCGGAUGUGACCAGGUGGGAUUAGCUAGUAGGGGGGGAAAAGGCUCACCUAGGCGACGAUCCCUAGCUGGUCUGAGAGGAUGACCGGCCAAACUGGGACUGAGACACGGUCCAGACUCCUACGGGAGGCAGCAGUGGGGAAUAUUUGACAAUGGGCGAAAGCCUGAUGGAGCCAUGCCGCGUGUAGGAAGAAGGCCUUCGGGUUGUAAAGUACUUUCAGCGGGGAGGCGGUACCCGAAGAGAAAGCAACGGCUAACUCCGUGCCAGCAGCCGCGGUAAUUC
rnacentral:rRNA from 1 species